CCCGCUGCCCCGGCGCCCGGCACGUCGCCGUGGGGGUCCCUGAGGGCCGGGGAUCGCCCGCGCUCCUGCGGCCCGAGCGGAGCUCUGUGGAGAGAGCGUGGCAGACAGUCUUGCUCCCUGAGAAUACGGAAAAGCGAGCCGAGACGCCUACCACCUUUUUGGUUGGGGAUAAAAGAGCCGUGGCCCACCUGGGAUUCAGAUGAAGGAAACUGUCCCCACUCCCUUUGGAGGAGGAGAGGUGUCAGCCUCCCCACCCUGAGGAGCCAACAACAGGAUGGGAAUAUCAAUGACUGUCUGAAUAGGAAGCCUCAGAUGAGCCCCGCAUGGAGAGCAGAGACAGGCAAGUGGAGAGUGCUAAGGCGCAGCUGCAGGAAGGAAAAUUCUGUCUGUGCAGCCGCGGGGUAUAGAGAGCCGCCGGGACCUGGCAACAGCGCGGCUCUUGACGGAGCUCCGCCCACCUCCAGCGACUGCGGCUGCAUCCAGGCAACUGCUCCGCCUGGCCGGUGAUGAAGGCAGCUACCGAGUGGGCGGGAGGACGUGACACUCGCCCAGGUGAGGGCCUGGGCCCAAUAGCUCUACAGAGCUGGAGCUUGGACAAAAGCCUUAGACAACAUACCAGGGAGGAGAAGAUGAAGGUCUUCUUUCUCCCUGCUCCCCAAACAGUGCCCCUACCCACCACCAAAUCAUCUGAGGGCCUUUUAUAAAAUCACAUCCUAGGAUCACCGGGGUGGCUCAAUCGGUUAAGCAUCCUACUCUUGGCCUAAGUGUUACAUUUGUAAAUUUACACUUCUUAUAGUUGCUUCUACUGGCAUCCUUUCAUUUUCUGGUACUUGACUAUGAGCAUAUAAAAAUGAUUCCUUUUAAAGGAUAGAAUCAGCACUCAAAUUCAAUAACUCAAAUGAGGAAGUGAGCAAGAUCAGGAUGGAGAAAACUUACGAGAAUAGUUUGGUUGUAUGAGAUGUGUUUGGGAUUAUUUCUGCAAUUGUAAUACAAGCUCUUGUUUCAUAAUAUGGACCCUACUCUGGAAAACACUUUCAGUGUUAAAUCAACCAACCACAUCUUCCUUGAUGUGAAUAAAUAGCAGAAAGAUUCCUACUGAAAUGUUCUA
rnacentral:lncRNA from 1 species